rnacentral:lncRNA from 1 species
GCAGAAGCCGAGACACACAGGAGGAGCAGAGGAAAGUUGGCCAAGAGACAGGCAGGCAACAGGGCAGGGGAGCCGCGUGUGGACCUGGAGCAUGCAGCGGAACCAGAAAGAGAAAGAGAUCUGAACACAGCACCAGGGCAAGGCAGCCAGGAAGGUGGCAGACAGUCAGAUAGAGUGUUCCUACCCAAAGCAGCUGACUGUCUUCCAAAACAAGCAGAGGGUCCUAGAGGGAGAACCUGGCAAGGAGAAGCUCACUUGAUACAACAAGAACACUGGUCUGGGCUUCAAGCACAGCCCAUAGAGGCCAUCAAGAGUGCCUACAUGACAAGCAGUGCCUCUUCAUUGGUCACAUUCCCAUCCAAAGGCGGAUCUUGUCUGACGUGGUGACCAAGAUAAAGAUGCAGAGGAUGAUUGUCAUCUGCUAUGGGCAUCCCUGUUAACAUCUGUGAGCCCGACUGCUUUGAGAAAUGCCGCAAGAACGGGCUGUGCACGUCCCCUGCUCCAGGACAUCCGGGCCGGUGACUUUGUCAUGAUGGGCAAGUGUGCAACUCUGAGCAAGAUGGUCUGCUUCAAUGUGCCCCCGGUCCUCAAGGCCCCGGCACCACGGAGCAGUUCCAGAAGGUCUGAAAUGGUCACCCGGUCACCACCAAAGGGAAUAAGGACACAGCAGAGAGAGGCAGGGGUCAAACCCAACCUACUGCCCGGAGCAACCUCGGCUUUCCCCGCCGACUGAAUGCAGAAUCUGAGCAACCAGAACUCCUGGUGCUGAGCUACCAGGUCCUGGGAGGCCUGACACAGGCUCCAAGAAAACCACCGUGGGAAAGUGAGCUCAGAAAGAAUCAACAAAGGAGAGCUUCGCACACAAACCCCCAACAAGGCAAAAUUCAAUCUGCAGAACACAGGCUGCAAACCGGCACCAAAGCACGCGGGGAAAACGAACACACUCAAGUGGCAAGAUGAUUUAACUGCUGAUAAAAUAAACAAACAGCCCAGCCUCUGGCAUCCUCCAACCCACAUCCCCAAGUCUAUCAGACUCAUCGCACUCCGCCCUGAGCUCUCUUCACUCCGCGCCCGGGUCCCCAGCUGCCGAUCUCCACCUCCCCUUCGCUCCUGGUCCCGGAUGUCAACAGCUUCCGUUCCACCCUGGACGCUGAAACCUUUGCAACCAGCCCCUGGGCACUAGCAACCCCCUUUCCACCUUUUACCUCCUUCCCUAAUGUUCUCAGCUUCUCGCUCUAAACAAAACAUGGCUCAGCCUUGC